rnacentral:rRNA from 1 species
CACCCAUAAGCUAGCCCAAACACCAAAACUCAACAACCCUCAUUAAUAACCCCAAACACCCCCCACAACCAACCCUAAAACAUUUUUCCCCCCUAGUAUGGGCGACAAAAAAGGAGACAAGGCGCCAUAGAACUAGUACCGCAAGGGAAUGCUGAAAGAGAUAUGAAACAGAACAGUAAAGUGUAAAAAAGCAGAGCUUAAAGCUCGUACCUUUUGCAUCAUGAUUUAGCUAGUACAAGCGAGCAAGGAGGACCAUAGCCCGCCGCCCCGAAACCGAGUGAGCUACUCCAGGACAGCCUAUUUCAGGGCAAACCCGUCUCUGUGGCAAAAGAGUGGGAAGAUCUUCGAGUAGAAGUGACAAACUUACCGAACCCGGUUAUAGCUGGUUGUCUGAGAAAUGGAUAUAAGUUCAGCCCCUCCCCUUCUUUGUUCCUCGGUAACGCAAUACCAUUAUGACAAUAAGGAGAAGGGGGAGUUAAUCAAAGGGGGUACAGCCCCUUUGAAAAAGGAUACAACUUUUUAGGGAGGAUAAAGAUUAUAAUAUACAAGGAAGGGUAGCCCAGUGGGCCUAAAAGCAGCCACCUGUAUAGAAAGCGUCAAAGCUCAAGCACAACACCACCCGCAUAUCCCAACAAACCCCUCCGAAGCCCCAACCCUAUACCAGACCUUUCCACGCAGUGGAAGAGAACAUGCUAAUAUGAGUAAUAAGAAAGCCCCGACUUUCUCCUAGCACACAUGUAACUCAGCACGGACAACCCGCCGAAAAUUAACGGACCCAAAAGAAGAGGGUACUGACAGAUACCACACCAACAGGAAAAACAUUCAACCCCGCCCGUUAACCCCACACCGGUGUGCUCAAAGGAAAGACUAAAAGAAAGAGAAGGAACUCGGCAAACAAAUUAAGCCUCGCCUGUUUACCAAAAACACCGCCUCUUGCCAACACAUUUAGAAUAAGAGGUCCAACCUGCCCAGUGACAUUGUUUAACGGCCGCGGUAUUUUGACCGUGCUAAGGUAGCGCAAUCACUUGUCUCUUAAAUGGGGACCUGUAUGAAAGGUAUAACGAGGGCUUAGCUGUCUCCUUUUUCCAGUCAAUGAAAUUGAUCUCCCCGUGCAGAAGCGGGGAUUUUAACAUAAGACGAGAAGACCCUGUGGAGCUUAAGACACCAGAGCAGCCCACGUCAAAGACCUCCGCCCCCGGCCAGAACUGAAUGGGGCCUGCUCCUAUGUCUUCGGUUGGGGUGACCAUGGGGAAAGCAAAACCCCCAUGUGGACAGGGAGCACUAGAGGAAACUUCACCACACACCCCACAACUUCACUCCUCCAAACCAGAGCCCCGGCUCUAGUUAACGAAAUGUUCGACUUAGAAUGAUCCGGGAAAACCGAUCAACGAACCAAGUUACCCCAGGGAUAACAGCGCUAUCCCCUUCCAGAGCCCAUAUCGCCAAGGGGGUUUACGACCUCGAUGUUGGAUCAGGACAUCCUAAUGGUGCAGCCGCUAUUAAGGGUUCGUUUGUUCAACGAUUAAAGUCCUACGUGAUCUGAGUUCAGACCGGAGCAAUCCAGGUCAGUUUCUAUCUAUGACUACGCUUUCUCCCAGUACGAAAGGACCGGAGAAGGGGGGCCCAUGCCUUCGGGCACGCCCGACCCCCACCUGAUGAAGUCAACUAAGCCAGGCAAGGGGGCGUAAAACCCAUGCUUAGAUAAUAGCAU